CCAAUGUCAAGUUCACCCAGGCCAUAUGACACUCAGGCUAUACUCUAUUUUUGAAAGAGUACAUUAACCAAGACCAUACGUACAUUUAUGACAGCUGGACGUACUAUGGUCAGAAGGAUACAGGAAGAAGAAUGUAAGCAAGAUAACUGAUGACUAACACGUGAAACCAUAAAGUACUCUGCAGCCACUUAGUGUGGUGUGGACACCAGGUUAUAUCAGCUGUGUCGGUGAACCCCUCCUGCAUCUGAACUGGCUACAUCGAGGGCACAGCAUGAUCAGAUGUGAGAGGUCACUUGGUCAGGUCAACAGUAACUAUUAUUAAAGAGAUGCUUUACAUUGAAAUACAGAUAGAGAUGCAGUAGUCCCAGAGUUAAUGAUCCAAGGUCAGUUUAUAUUAUACAGGAAGUAGUAUUAAAAGAGGUUUUACAUUGAAAUACAGAG